GUUAAUCUAUGAACCGCGCCAAGCAGAAAUAUGUCUUAACGUACAUUAUGACGAAAUCGAGAAACGACGUCACAAGUUGCAGGUGCGAUUUCAAAAUGGCGACGCCCAUGCUUUGACAUGUUUACAAUUUAAUAUUUGACAUGGAUACGUUUGAGGAUUUAGAAGAUUUACUUGAAGUGUUUGGAUUGGGAAGUAAAUCUAGUACAUCAAAUAGCCAAUGUACACAGGAACUUGCAGAAGCUGGAACUACAAAUGAUGAUGCUGAUGAUGAAAUGUCC